GGGAGGCAGCAGUGGGGAAUCUUGCACAAUGGGGGCAACCCUGAUGCAGCGACGCCGCGUGAGCGAUGAAGCCCUUCGGGGUGUAAAGCUCUUUCGGCAGGGAAGAUGAUGACGGUACCUGCAGAAGCAGCUGCGGCUAACUACGUGCCAGCAGCCGCGGUAAUACGUAGGCAGCAAGCGUUGUUCGGAGUUACUGGGCGUAAAGGGUGUGUAGGCGGUUUGGUAAGUCUGGUGUGAAAUCUCCCGGCUCAACUGGGAGGGUGCGCCGGAAACUGCCGGACUUGAGUGCGGGAGAGGAGAGUGGAAUUCCUGGUGUAGCGGUGAAAUGCGUAGAUAUCAGGAGGAACACCGGCGGGUAGACGGCUCUCUGGACCGUAACUGACG
rnacentral:rRNA from 1 species